UAGCCAUGAUGUGGACAGGCACUUAGAAGAUCCUUAAACCUCUCACAACAUUGGAAGAAGGUUUCUUCUUCUUUCUACAAGAAGUUCAUGAUGACCCUUCUAAGAGU